ensembl:lncRNA
UAACCACCAGUACCGUAACUUUUAUUUGCUAAUAAAUAUCUUAAUAAACAGGCUUACCCCAUCCGUAAGACCUGAUAAUGCCUCUUAGGAAAUCAUAGAAAAAUAAAAUACAAUAAUAAUCAGUAACUUGUACUUUGUACAAAAAUCUUAUUAUGUUGCUCAGCAGGUAGCUUUGCCAAACCCCAUAUUCUUUCUGCAAAGAGAUGGCAUAUGUAAUGCGAUUCACCUUAAAAACACUCUAAUGUUGAGAGCUGAGCAUUCUAUUACACUAUUCACUCGUAGGCAUGCCAGCACAUGAGAAUUUACAUGGAACAUCGUAUUAUCAUAGGAAUAGAAUUAAAAGAAAUGAUAACGCCACUUUUCAGAAAGUAAUAACUUCACUUCUAAUGUAAAUUCCCCUUGGGUCUGGAAAAUCAGUAUAUUCAGGUUUUUAUUUCAUGGCUAUUCCUGCAGUACUGUUAUAAACCGGCCAAAAGACAGAAAGAAAAAAUGUGCUCGGAGCACACGUGGGAGAUAAACUGCAUGAAAAAAGGUUGUUCUGAACAGUGGGGCACAGUCACAGUACCAGCUAUGGAAUGUUCAGUCUCUCAGAAUUAGCAGACCUCGCCUGCUGUGCGCAAUGCGACACAGGUUCAGACCGAUGAAGAUACAACUCAGAGGCACAGUGCCAAGGUUGCUUUGCUGUGAGAUGAAUGGUGAAGAUUCAGUUACAGGUAGUCAUCAUUAUGCAAAUAUAUCUUGGCGAGAAGAAAAAAAGCAGCUGAAAAACAACUGUGUUCCGGGGUCUUAAAAGAAAGAGUGGUUGCCAGAGUACUGAUAAGGAUAAGAGAUCUGGGCUGAGGCCAUGGUUUGUCUGUAAAAUGGUUUGCAAGUAUGAUUAUGCUGUUACUUUUGAAGCCAUCUACCUUUAAAGUUUUGACAUGGCUGCUUAAAUAUACAACAUGUCUGUCAUCAAAUAGUUAUUCAUAUAUACACAUACAUUGAUACAUUUUAUGGCUAUGCUAGAACAGCAGACUAUGAAGAGCAGUCAUAUUCAAUUGUGUACAGUCUAAUUUCACAGAAGAGAUAAGAGAUCAAAACUUUAAUUGAUAUACGUUUAAAACCAACACAGAGAAAUAGAAGCUAUCCUGAGGAAACGUACUGACCCCAUUGUGUCCCAAGAGAAAAAAUGAAAGCUAAUUUUUGGAAGGUAAACAAACAUUAUUUUUUUUUUCUGCAAAUGAAAUAAUAAUUAAAAAAGAAGAUGAGAAAGCGAAAACAAUUGACACCAACUUGAUCAGUGAAGUUUGAUUUGCUAGAAAGUAAACAAAUGCCUUUCAGUAGAUAUGGUUUCAUGUGAUCUUUUUAAGCCUUUUUUUUCCCUUGUUAAACUGCAGAAGCAAUCCUGAGGAUUGUAGAGUAUCUGCUGUUGUUACUGAAGUCCAUAGGAGUUGUACUGCACCAAACAAGAGCAAGCCUCUUUUGUUAGUCUUUGGGUUUUCAAUCACAGCAGCACCAUGUAUGAUGUAACUGAUAACAUAAGGGAAUUUUGACAUUGGAACCGUGGCUCUAGGUAAGAAUAACGUAUGCUGAAAUACUGAUUGAGCCCAAUUCCUUCACUGGUUAACCAAGAAACAACUUUUCCCACUCCUAUCUGAAAUAGCUUUCUUCCUCAUGGAGAAAACUCAGAAGAAAUUGCUGCAGAAGAAAUGACAUUAAAAAUAUAUAUGACCAAUUCAAACCCAACUAUUUACUGGGGAGAGGCUGACACAGAAUCAUGGCCAUAAGUUUUAAAAUGUUUGUGUUUAUGUGUUGGGUAUUUUAGAGUAGCGUGGUUUUCUUGAAAUAUAGAAUUAAUGAAAGAGUCCAGUAAAUAGUAUGACUAGGAGGGCAUUAUUUAUUUUAUUUGCUGCUGUGCCAUUAAUUAACUGGCAAAUCUCAGACCUUAAGCUGCAUUGUACUAGGAGUGUGAAACAGAGUUUGUUCAAAGUGGAAAAUUGCAAUAACUGCCAUUAUGAAGGGGAGAUCAUAUUGUAUAAUGCUGCGUGUUAAAGAAGAGAGACAAAUCCUACAGAUAAAGGUCGUAUUCUUUGUUGAUGGGGAAGGUGGUUUUAUCUUGCAUUUAAAUCCAGGACUUUGGGAAAAUAUCUAAGAAAGAAAACCAUUUCUAUUGCAUACUGUAGAAAUUCUGUUAGAUUAGUAGGUUUGUUUUAUUUAGUCCAAACUCAGUGAUGGUAACCCACUGCAGAUAAAACAACAGUUCAACAACUGUGUUUUGUACCUUGCUUGUGCCACACUGAAGGUAACCAUAAUCUCUUUUCACACAUUCCUGAGGUAGCAGCAUUGUAUGAUCAGUGCACUCUCUUUUCCCUUAUUAAAGCAGGCCAUUCAUUCCAUACAAAUCUUUGGAAACCCUUGAUCCCAAACCUUGUUUCAGUCCAUUGAUAGCUACUUAGGGAUUUAAGUGAUUUUGGAUCAUGCCUCAAAUGAUCAAGCUAAUCUCAGCCUGAACCCUCAAUAAAGAAAUGAAAACUUGCAUAAAGUUUUAGCAAUACAUUUGAAUGACAAGAGAGCAUGCGUACCAAUAAAUGUUGGUUCUCCAACAGCAAACCAACCGUGACAGUAGUAAAAUGAAGAAAGGGAGAAUUUAUUAGGAAAGCUGAAUGCUACAACUGUCUCUAUAAGAUAGGGCUUCAUCCUACUGACACCGAAGUCAGUAUCAAACUCUUAAGCCACAACAAAACAUUGCCUAUUGACAACGAAACUAAUUCCUCACACAAUUACGUAAUUGUUGCUGGAAUUAAUUUAAAAAAGUUAUUAAAAUCCUUCAAUAGAAUGUGAAAAUAGUAGGUAAUUUAGAGUAGAACCUUCCCAAGGCAAAAAAGUAAUUGUGAAGUUGGCAUUUAGUAACUAAAAGAAUCUAUGGAUUUGAAACACUGGCUGCAAUUUUUGUCUUUUUCAUCUAAUCUUAUGUAGCGCUUAAUGAGAUGGUGAUGUAAGCUGUAUGAAUCAAAACAUUCAGCUUGAUAAGAGACAUUCUUGCUUUGCUUUUCCUUUUUUGCUUCUCAUUGUCACGUGGAACUCAGUCUGGACGAAAUUGAUCAUUUGGUGUGUAAUCCACUCUUAUCUACACAGCUCUCCUGUUUACUGUUUGCUUAGGUUCCUCUCAAAAAAGCCAAUAUGCAUCAAGAAGAGAAAUUAGUCCUUCAGUUAUAUGUUUAGGAAAUAAAACUGUGUCUACUGGAAGUUCUAAAUUAUGACAACUGUACCUUUUUUCUUUAUCAUAGGCUGGACCCCGGAAAACCAGCAAAUAGAUUUCUUUUCUGCCACUGCUCUAGGGGACACUCAGAGCAUUACGCUGUGCUGAUACUAUGAAAAUACUCCCCUUACUGAUUCAAUGGGCAAUUUUUCACAAUCAGAAAUAAUUGGAUUCUAAUGCAGAUGUUCCCCAGAUUCGAUCUUCCAGAUCCUAGUGGUAAGGUUACUCUCCAAACAGGGCUCCAGCCAUCACGGAGUUCACAAUACAGACAGGUAGAUUUCUUUGAGAUUUUGAGUUCUCAGGGUUUUGCCUUAUCUAUGUGCUGCUUAGCAGCUCUUCACUGAGUUGUCAAUAAAAAGAAGUAUUAGUAUUUAUGAAGUUGUAAUCAGCUUGCAUGUUAGAGAAGAAUAUUCCCCAAAAUGAAACAGGAGGUUUUCUCAUAAUAAUGAAUAUGGUGACUCUCAAGGGAACCAUACAUAGAAUUGAAUUUGAAAAGGACAAAAUUAUGUUGUCUCAUUCUGCCUUACAAAUAUACAAUAAGAGCUGGGAUUUGCAAGCAUUUUAUGCCUAACUCUACUCAUGUAAAUAGUUCAGUUUCUAGUCAGCCUCUUUAUCUAAAUGAAGCCACACAAACACUGACCUCUUUACAUAUUCAGGUGUUUCUGAACAUGGUACAGUACAUACGUUAUUUCUGGAACACACGUAUAGUUACCAACUAGUCAAGUACUCAGAUACUUAGACACAGUUGAAAAUUUGGAACAUGAACAAAGCAGAACAGGUGAAAACUUGAAAUGCUUUUGAGAUUGAUCUUAUUAAUAUACUUUUCCACAUCUUCAUUGCCAUAACUUAGCCUUAUUAGUUUCAGUUUGAUUAGACAGGCAUGAAAAACCAGAUAAUAUGUUAACCCUUUGUGGAAGAGAGAUGUACUUGUGAAAUCUCCUGUGUGAAAGGAAAGUAAGAAAUAGUGAUGUAGAAUUUUCAAAGAAACAUGCACACAAAUAGAUUUCACGAUGUGAACUGGUGUUAUUUCACAUAUAAAAUAUGGAAAUUCAUUUUAACCUACUCAUUUUUUACUCUUCUGCUCUUACAUUUGUCUUUUGUUGUUUUUCCUUUCUAAAAUUCAACAUAUCUUUUUAUAGUACGCACUGGCAAAUCAUUACUCGCAUUCCCUUGAAUUUUUCCCCCAUUUUAACCUCGACAGAGUCUAUAAAUGAUUAUUUAAAAGAAAUCAUCUAUAUACUGAUCAUCUUUGGUGACUUCAGCAGAGGUACUCAAACUUUUUAUAGCAUGGACUAUAUUGAACUAAAAAAGCUUUUUUUUCUUUUUCUUUUUUUUUUUUUCUGCCUGUGAAGGGAGGAAGAGAGAGGCUGUCAUCCAUUUCCAGACAACAAACCAAGGAAGCUUGGGAAGCUUAAGAUUUUAAGUGCCAGUGGAGAAGAUCAACCCUAUUAUCAUUAUUGAGAGCCAGGAAUUUGUACUAAAUGAAGACCUGGCCCCCACAGAAACCAGAACUCCAUUUCAGCAGAGUCUGCUUUUCACUUCUAAAAGCAGUUAGAAGUAGACUCAAGGCAACAUAUUAUUACACUGCUGUCCUAUGUCUCCUUUUCUGCCUACGUAUAAUAAAACUGAACACCACAUAGUGUAACUUCCAGCAUUAGUUUGUGGCUGUACCGCUACCUUCCAUUGGAUGAUGCUAUGGCCGAUCUGCUCCAGCACCCCACUGAUGGUUGUCCCUCUAAGCUAUCACUACUCUACUACCACUGGUGGAAAUGACACUUAGUUCAAGUUGUGGAGGCCUACAUUUUUGGAACAGAAAACUUUCUGAAGUCUAUGUGACCACAGUAUAGCUGACAACCAUGUUCUACAUGUAGUUAUGGAACACUACAAUCAGUUUUCCGGUGACAAUUUGCCACAGAGUAGAGGCAAAUGCUGACUAUUAAAAAAAAGAAAAAAG